GAUGAACGCUAGCGAUAGGCUUAACACAUGCAAGUCGAGGGGCAGCACAAGGUAGCUUGCUAUCUGGGUGGCGACCGGCGCACGGGUGCGUAACGCGUAUGCAACUUGCCCUAUACAGGAGGAUAACCCGUCGAAAGACGGACUAAUACUGCGUAUGCUCACAACUUGGCAUCAAGUGGUGAGGAAAGAAAUUCGGUAUAGGAUAGGCAUGCGUCCCAUUAGCUUGUUGGUGAGGUAACGGCUCACCAAGGCAACGAUGGGCAGGGGAACUGAGAGGUUUAUCCCCCACACUGGUACUGAGACACGGACCAGACUCCUACGGGAGGCAGCAGUGAGGAAUAUUGAUCAAUGGGCGCGAGCCUGAACCAGCCAAGUCGCGUGAAGGAUGACUGUCUUAUGGAUUGUAAACUUCUUUUAUACGGGAAUAACAAGAGUCACGUGUGACUCCCUGCAUGUACCGUAUGAAUAAGCAUCGGCUAACUCCGUG
rnacentral:rRNA from 1 species